rnacentral:rRNA from 1 species
GAUGAACGCUGGCGGCGUGCUUAACACAUGCAAGUCGAACGAUGAAGCCCAGCUUGCUGGGUGGUUUAGUGGCGAACGGGUGAGUAACACGUGAGUAAACUGCCCUUAACUCUGGGAUAAGCCUGGGAGACUGGGUCUAAUACCUGAUAGGAGCGUCCACCGCCUGGUGGGUGCUGGAGAGAUUUAUCGGUUUUGGAUGGACUCGCGGCCUAUCCGCUUGUUGGUGAGGGAAUGGCACACCAAGGCAACGACGGGUAGCCGACCGUGGAAGGUGACCAGCCACACGACGACUGAGACACGGACCAGUCGGCUACGUUAGGCAGCGGUGGGAAAUAUUACACAAUGGGCGCAAGCCUGAGGCGACGACGCUGCGUUAGUGAUGACGUCCUUCUGGUUGUAAACCUCUUUCAGUAGAGAAAAAGCUAAAGUGACGGUACCUGCAGAAGAAGCACCGGCUAACUACGUG